rnacentral:rRNA from 1 species
CCCUUAGAUGUUCUGGGCCGCACGCGCGCUACACUGACGAUGGCAACGAGUUUUUCCUUCGCCGAAAGGUGUGGGUAAUCUUUUGAAACAUCGUCGUGCUGGGGAUAGAUCAUUGCAAUUUUUGAUCUUGAACGAGGAAUUCCUAGUAAGCGCGAGUCAUCAGCUCGCGUUGAUUACGUCCCUGCCCUUUGUACACACCGCCCGUCGCUACUACCGAUUGAAUGGUUUAGUGAGGACUCCUGAUUGGCGCCGCCGCCCCGGCAACGGAGCAGCGGACUGCCGAAAAGUUGUUCAAACUUGAUCAUUUAGAGGAAGUAAAGUCGUAACA